AAAGAAAAGAAAAAUGUUUGAAUCUUUUUCCGCUUUCAGAUGGACGACCUCUUCCCAGUUUCCGUUUCUCACACACGCUUCCUCCACAAGAUCCUCUCUCAGUCCCAGAACCAAACAUGUAAAUUUCUGUCCAUUUCAAGGUUUUUUUAACAAUACUUGAACGAAAUCGCCCCCGAAAAGGCCAAAAACCUAAUGAUUCCCUUACUGUGCCAACCUCAGAUCUCCCGGAUUCAGUUCACUAUAAUCUUCGUAAUUUCUUCUUCUUCAUCUUCUUCUUCUUCUUCCCUUCUUUCAAAACAAAACCUCUCCCCAAACCCUUCUCUAGUUCCCGCCAAUCUAGUCAACUUCACCGGACGUCCUCGCCGUGAAAAAAUUUCCAGACGUUUUCCGUUGCCGGAAACCGGAGAACGUACCUUCUCUGGUUUUUAAAUUGAAAGGGAGAGAACAAAAGACAAAACUGAGACCUCAUCGGUCCAUAAAUCUUGUUUUUCACGCCGGCUGUUUUGAUGUUUCGUUUAUUUGGAUUUUCUCUGCGAAUAGAUCGACUGAUCGUUCGUUCAUUGAUUUUUCAGAAAUCUGGAAUUUUGGAAUGAAAAGAUUGAUUGGUACAGAGUGUUGAUUUUGCAGAAUUUGAUAGAAACGAUGUGUUUUGUGGAGAUUGUUGAUGGUUUUUCAGUUACUUAGGUUUUGAUUUUUUCAAAGGAAGUGGGAUUUUUUCUCCGCUUCAAGAAUUUUGAGGGCAUUUUUGGUUUUUGGAAUUUUUGGAACCACUUGGGUGAUGAAGGGGUGGAUGUGGAUCUGUUGCUGGUGGUGAAGAUUCAGAGGAGGUGGCAAUGUCGAAGGUCGUCUAUGAAGGGUGGAUGGUGCGUUAUGGACGGAGGAAGAUCGGCCGUUCGUUCAUCCAUAUGCGAUAUUUUGUUCUCGAGUCUCGGCUUCUUGCUUACUACAAGAAAAAACCGCAAGACAAUGUAGUUCCAAUCAAGACCCUUCUUAUUGAUGGAAACUGUAGAGUUGAAGACCGUGGCUUGAAGACACACCAUGGGCAUAUGGUCUAUGUUUUAUCUAUCUACAGCAAGAAAGAGAAAUACCAUCGAAUUACGAUGGCAGCAUUCAACAUCCAGGAAGCACUGAUCUGGAAGGAAAAAAUUGAGCUCGUCAUUGAUCAGCAUCAGGAGUCUCUGAUUGCCAAUGGUAACAAACCUUUUGUUUCAUUUGAAUAUAAAUCUAGUAUGGAUAGUGGGAGGGCUGCUUCCUCAUCAGACCGGGAAAGCCAGUGUAGUGCACAUGAAGAUGAAGAGAACCAGCCAACAUUACUACGGAGAACGACAAUUGGAAAUGGGCCUCCUGACUCAAUACUUGACUGGACCCAGGAUUUUGAAUCGGAAUUGUCAAACCAGGACAAUAGUAAUCAAGUCUUCUCUAGAAAACAUUGGCGUCUUGUCCAAUGCCAGAAUGGCCUUCGCAUUUUUGAAGAGCUUCUUGAAGUUGAUUAUCUUCCAAGGAGCUGUAGUAGAGCAAUGAAGGCUGAAGGUGUGGUGGAGGCUACCUGUGAAGAAAUUUUUGAGCUUGUAAUGAACAUGGAUGGAACUCGGUUUGAGUGGGAUUGCAGCUUCCAAUAUGGUAGCUUAGUUGAGGAGGUAGAUGGACAUACUGCAUUACUUUAUCACAGACUGCAGCUGGACUGGUUCCCAAUGGUUGUCUGGCCCCGUGACCUUUGCUACGUGCGAUAUUGGCGCCGUAAUGAUGAUGGAAGUUAUGUUGUGUUAUUUCGUUCUAGGGAGCACGAGAAUUGUGGUCCUCAGCCUGGAUUUGUGCGGGCCCAUGUUGAGAGUGGUGGAUACAACAUUUCCCCUCUAAAACCUCGCAAUGGGAGGCCUCGAGCAAAGGUGCAGCAUCUUAUGCAAAUUGAUCUUAAAGGUUGGGGUGUGGGUUAUGUUCCCUCAUUUCAGCAACAUUGUCUGCUUCAAAUGUUGAAUAGCGUGGCUGGGCUACGUGAAUGGUUUUCUCAAACAGAUGAAAGGCAUGCAGUUCCAAGGAUCCCAGUCAUGGUAAAUAUGACCUCAGAUUCCAUUUCUUCAAAGAAAAAUAGGAAAACACAGGAACCUUCUGUUCAGCCUGCCCCGUCACUUGAUCAAAUCAAUGCUGCUAGCAGAAACUCUGUGAUGAUGGAUGAAUACUCUGAUGAGGAUGAAGAAUUUCAGAUAGCCGAUGGUGAACAAGAGGCAUACCCACAAAGGGUUGAGAAUGAAGUCAAACGGUCAGCUUUGGAUGAGGAGCCAAUAGAUCAAAUUGAUUUGUCUUGUUUUUCUGGUAAUCUACGGCGGGAUGACCGUGAUAACGGUCGUGACUGUUGGAGAGUGUCUGAUGCUAACAAUUUCAGAGUCCGUAGCAAACACUAUUGUUUUGACAAAGCCAAGGUUCCUGCGGGGAAGCAUCUAAUGGAGCUUGUUGCAGUUGAUUGGUUCAAGGAUACAAAGCGUAUGGAUCAUGUUGCUAGACGUCAAGGCUGUGCAGUGCAAGUUGCCUCUGAAAAAGGACUAUUCUCACUUGCCAUAAAUCUGCAAGUACCUGGUUCAACCCAUUACAGUAUGGUGUUUUAUUUUGUAAUGAAACAAUUGGUACCUGGAUCUCUGUUGCAACGUUUUGUUGAUGGGGAUGAUGAGUUCCGCAACAGUAGGCUGAAGCUUAUUCCAUCAGUUCCUAAGGGUUCAUGGAUUGUGCGCCAGAGUGUUGGAAGCACUCCAUGUCUGUUGGGCAAGGCAGUUGAUUGCAACUAUAUUCGUGGUCCUAACUACUUAGAAAUAGAUGUUGAUAUUGGUUCUUCUACUGUUGCCAAUGGAGUGUUGGGGCUUGUUUGUGGCGUAAUUACCACUCUGGUUGUUGACAUGGCUUUUCUUGUACAGGCAAACACUUUAGAUGAGCUGCCUGAACGACUUAUUGGUGCUGUUCGUGCCUCACAUGUUGAGUUGUCAUCAGCAAGAGUUCCAGUAUUGGAACCCAAUCCAUCGACUGCGGAAUCUAACAGUUGAUUUGCAGCAAAGUUUGUAUCCCGUAUUCUUUACUCAGCUUUCUUUCUCUGUAGAUCUCCAAGUAAUUUGUCUAUACUACAUGAUAUGUUCGCACACAUAUAUAAGUUAGUUCCCAUUUAGAGCAACUCCACUUUCCAUGUAUUCUUUUGAGGAGUCUUGUUUUUGCUGGAGCAUCCUCUCCAUAUGUUGAGCAUUCAUAAAAGAGAAGCGUGAUUGUCACAUAUCUUACUAGAGAUUUUAAGGUAGUGAAUCUAUGGUAGACUUGUAGCCCACCCAAGAGUCUUGUCCAUCCAAGAGUCCUGUCCAUCCCGACCAUCCCACGGAUAUCAGUAAUUAUAUGGAUACAGUGACGGAUUGGCAUCGAAGAAACAUGAGGGAAGAGUAAGCAAGAAGAACUGCAGGAUGAUCUUUUUCUUGUGGCUUGAAUUUGGAGAUAUUAAAGUGGAUAAUCAGUUCUUAAUAUUGCUUCCAUUUAACUGUCAGAAGACAGAAAAAAAGGGGAAAAUAGAUUUUUUUUUUCCGCCUAUAUUCGUUGAUAUCCUAAAGAGGAUGUGGUCCUGCAAUUCAGAUGGAGAUUUUGGUUUUUGAACUCCAAAUUGUUUGAUGUGAUGUGCUAAUUGGACAAAUCUGAACUGUUUGAACAUGAAUUGGGCAUAAUAUGGUUGUCUGGUGUAGUUUGGGGCCUUGUCUGGUCUACCUUAUUUUCAAUGGGUCUAGAAAUAUUCAAAGAUGGUGUUUUGUCACCAAUUUUCUUUGUUUCAUUUUGACAAUUGGGAACUCAGAUGCCAGGGGCUCAAACUUAGAUCAAGCAUUAGAGCAUGUUUCCUCU